rnacentral:rRNA from 1 species
GACGAACGCUGGCGGCGUGCCUAAUACAUGCAAGUCGAACGCAGUGGCGGACGGGUGAGUAACACGUGGGUGACCUGCCCUGCACUUCGGGAUAAGCCUGGGACACUGGGUCUAAUACCGGAUAGUGUGGGAUGGGCCCGCGGCUUAUAGGCUUGGUGGUGGGGUAAUGGCCUACCAGGGCGGCGACGGGUAGCCGGCCUGGGAGGGUGUACGGGUACAUUGGGACUGCGAGACGGCCCAGACUCCUACGGGGGGCAGCAGUGGGGAAUAUUGCACAAUGGGCGGAAGCGUGAUGCAGCGCCGCCGGGUGGGUGAUGACGGCCUUCGGGUUGUAAACUCCUUUCACCAUCGACGCGGUAGAUGGAGAAGAAGCACCGGCUAACUACGUGCCAGCAGCCGCGGUAAUUC